GACAAACGCUGGCGGCGUGCUUAACACAUGCAAGUCGAACGGAAAGGCCCUGCUUUUGUGGGGUGCUCGAGUGGCGAACGGGUGAGUAACACGUGAGUAACCUGCCCUUGACUUUGGGAUAACUUCAGGAAACUGGGGCUAAUACCGGAUAGGAGCUCCUGCUGCAUGGUGGGGGUUGGAAAGUUUCGGCGGUUGGGGAUGGACUCGCGGCUUAUCAGCUUGUUGGUGGGGUAGUGGCUUACCAAGGCUUUGACGGGUAGCCGGCCUGAGAGGGUGACCGGCCACAUUGGGACUGAGAUACGGCCCAGACUCCUACGGGAGGCAGCAGUGGGGAAUAUUGCACAAUGGGCGGAAGCCUGAUGCAGCAACGCCGCGUGCGGGAUGACGGCCUUCGGGUUGUAAACCGCUUUCGCCUGUGAUGAAGCGUGAGUGACGGUAAUGGGUAAAGAAGCACCGGCUAACUACGUG
rnacentral:rRNA from 1 species